UACGGAGGGAGCUAGCGUUGUUCGGAAUUACUGGGCGUAAAGCGCACGUAGGCGGACUAUUAAGUCAGGGGUGAAAUCCCGGGGCUCAACCCCGGAACUGCCUUUGAUACUGCUAGUCUCGAGUCCGGAAGAGGUGAGUGGAAUUCCGAGUGUAGAGGUGAAAUUCGUAGAUAUUCGGAGGAGCACCAGUGGCGAAGGCGGCUCACUGGUCCGGUACUGACGCUGAGGUGCGAAAGCGUGGGGAGCAAACAGG
rnacentral:rRNA from 1 species